rnacentral:rRNA from 1 species
GAUGAACGCUGGCGGCGUGCCUAAUACAUGCAAGUCGAGCGAACGGACGAGAAGCUUGCUUCUCUGAUGUUAGCGGCGGACGGGUGAGUAACACGUGGAUAACCUACCUAUAAGACUGGGAUAACUUCGGGAAACCGUAGCUAAUACCGGAUAAUAUUUUGAACCGCAUGGUUCAAAAGUGAAAGACGGUCUUGCUGUCACUUAUAGAUGGAUCCGCGCUGCAUUAGCUAGUUGGUAAGGUAACGGCUUACCAAGGCAACGAUGCAUAGCCGACCUGAGAGAGGGAUCGGCGGCACUGGAGCUUAGCCACGGUCCUGACGCCUAAGGGAGGCAGCAGUAGGGUAUCGUACGCAGUGGUCGAGAGCCUGGCGGAGCAACGCGGCGCGAGUUGUGAAGGUCUUCGGUGCGGAAAAACCUGUUAUGAGUGAAGAACAGAUGUGUAAGGAGCUGUACACAUCGUGACGGUAACUAAUCAGAAAGCCACGGCUAACUACGUG